AUGACCGGCGGAAUCGUGACCGUGGCGACCGGGGUGAUGAACCCCCUCAUCAGCAAGCUCACCGCACUCAUGGGCGACGAGUACAACAAGUUCAAAGGGGUCAGGAAGCAGGCCUCAUUCCUCGAGAAGGAACUCAGCGCCAUGAACGCAGCCCUUCAGAAGCUCGAGCUCAUUGAUGAGAUUGAUCCAACCGUCAAGGAUUGGAGGGACCAUGUUAGGGAGAUGUCGUAUGACAUGGAGAAUUGUAUCGAUGACUUCAUGCGCCAGUCCCGGGCUGACGAUGCCAAGGCGGGUUUCAUCAAGAAGACUGCUCGGCGCAUCAAAAAGUUGCGAGAGCGUCUUCGGAUAGCUGAUCGGAUGGAAGAGCUCAAGACUCUUGCCAUAGAGGCCAAUGCUCGGCGCCAAAGGUAUAAUAUCGAUGAUUGGAAGCCUACCUCAAGCACUGUGGCCAUUGACCCUCGACUGUGUGCGGUCUACCAGGAGGCGGAUACUCUCGUGGGCAUCGAUGGGCCAAGGGAGGAGGUUGCCACUAUUUUGAUGGAUGCUCGAAAGAAACUCAAAGUGGUGUCGAUUGUGGGCUUCGGUGGUCUUGGUAAAACUACACUUGCCAAGCAGGUGUAUGACAAGAUUGGCUCGCUGUUCGACUGCAAAGCAUUCUUUUCAGUUUCGCAGAGGCCUGAUAUGACUGAGCUGCUCAACAAUUUCCAGUUGAAACUAGGGAUGAGGGAUCCCGAUACAUCUCGCACUCGCAAGGUUGACGACAUCAUUGAAGAGCUAAGGCAACAUCUGAAAGAGAAGAGGUACCUGAUUGUUGUCGAUGAUGUGUGGGAUCAACCAACAUGGAAUACCAUUAAGUGUGCGUUUCCUGAAGAUAUUAAUGGAAGUAGAGUAGUAGUUACAACACGAGUGGAAGACGUGGCUGCAGCAGCCUGUCAGAAUGACGGCGAGGGCAUCUACAAAAUGGAACCCCUCAGUGAUCAAAACUCAAGAAUGCUAUUGUUGAAUAGAGUAUUUGGGUCCAAACAUGAUUGUCCACCCCAUCUGAAAGAAGUUAUGGCUGAGAUUUUGAAGAAGUGUCAUGGAUUGCCACUUGCAGUUAUCACAAUAGCUAGCCUAUUAGCCAAUAAAGAAACGUCAAGGAAGAGCUGGGAGAGCAUAAGGGAUUCUUUGGGUACCCAGCUUGCCACAAAUCCCACCUUGGAAGAGAUGAAGAGUAUAUUAAACUUGAGCUACAUGCAUCUUCCUGCUCAUCUGCGGGCAUGCUUUUUGUACUUUGGUAUGUAUCCUGAGGACUGGGACAUCGAGAGGGACGAUCUGGUUCGGCAAUGGAUAGCUGAAGGCCUUGUGAGUAAUUUGCAUGGGCAUGACCUAGAGGAUGUUGGGAGGAGUUAUUUCAAUGAGCUAAUUAACAGAAGUGUGAUUCAGCCUGUUAUGGUAUACCGUGAAGAGGUGGUGUUAUGUAGAGUACAUGACAUGAUGCUUGAUUUGAUCCUAAGCAGGUGUGAUGAAGAUAACUUUAUAAGUGUGGCGUACAAUUAUAAUGACAUGGCAAGAUUGCAUGGCAAUAAAUACAAGGUUCGCCGGUUAUCUCUGAGUUCUGUGGCUGGUCGUGGAGCAGCAUAUGCCCCAACUAUUGAUGUCUGCCUAUCACAAAUUCGAUCAUUUACACUUUUCUGGGCCCCCCUGCCUUCUCUUUUGCUGUUCAAGUAUCUCCGGGUGUUGAGAAUUACAGAUUACAACCUAGAUGAGGAGACCACACUUGACCUCGCUCCUAUUGGUCAAUUGUUUCAGUUGAGGUAUUUGUAUGUUACAGUGUCAUGUUACGUACAACUCCCCUCUAAACUUCAAGGGCUUGUUUACUUGGAGACGUUGGACAUGCCUUCUGCACAACUCAAGAGCAUCCCCUCAGAUAUAGCCCAGUUGUCUCGCUUGUCCUAUCUUAAUAUUAGGAUGGAAAAAUUCAUGUCUGAAUGUAUUGGGAAUAUGAAAUCACUGCGCACUCUGGUAAUAGAUGGUGAAGAUUUGUCCAUGAAGGAAGUGAAUUCAGUAAAGGUUAUUAUGGGUCUCGGAGAGCUGACCAAUCUAAGGAACCUGAAGAUUAGAGUGAAUGGUUGGGAAAAGCCAGAACGUGAUGCUUUUGCCAGCUCCCUUGGAAAGCUCCGUAACCUCAAAUGUCUUCAUUUCAGUUCUGGCUAUACUGUAGAAGAUAACGAACUGGGCUCAUUAUCCAAUCCUUUUCCGCAACUCGAGGAAUUUAUCGGCGGCCGUUGGAAAUUCCAUAGAGUUCCCGUAUGGAUGGGUGGUCUAAAUUGCCUUCGCAACCUAGAGCUGUGGGUGAAGGAGGCGUCAACUCAGGAGGUUAAUCUUCUUGGAGAGCUCCCGUCCCUCGUUGCACUCUGGCUCGGGACGUCUCAUAUCCCAAAAGAAAGCGCUAUAUUGGGCACGGGACUGUUCCCGGUUCUGAAGAGCCUCACAUUUGGGGCACAGGAAGAUGUUGGGGCUUACCUAGGGUUCGAGGCGGGGGCCAUGCCCAACCUAAGAUUCCUCUGUAUCUCUACAUCCAGGGAACACGGCGUUGUACCAGUUGGCCUGGAGCACCUGUUACGCCUUGAGACAAUCUAUCUGCGUGGGGUCGACAUCGGUGAUGCCAUAGUGUCUGCGUUCAGGGAUGCUUUAUCAGCGCACCCAAACCACCCAUCUGUUGGCCCUUCAUUUUAG
rnacentral:rRNA from 1 species